GGACUCAUGAGUUGAUCAGUUCAGCUUGCAACAAUUUAGGAAACUUCACUGGAUGCAUGGUUAGCUACAGUGACAGCCUGACUCAAAUGAGCGCUUUUUGUCACAGGUUUAAUGUAGCCGAAAGCCCAUGUGCCAUAUUGAAAACUCCUCACAACCGCAUCCUAGCUAAACUUCACUUCCAUCAUCAUAAUAACCCAGACACAAGGAUAAGCAAGAAGGCAUUAUUUAGAGGAGAAGUGGGGAUGUGAUCUUCAUCCCCAAUUCAGACAUGUGUGUUCUUUCAUGUUUCAUUUGGUUAUGUUUUCUUCCUGUGGGUGCAUGUGAUUUGUCACACACCUGCCUCUAUGAGCACUGGAAAUGUCUGUGAGGAGACCUGGUAGCUCCUGACACCUUGACAUCAGAAAUAAUUAGGAGUUGUUCCAGAGCAUUGCAUCAGAUGAUAAGCUAAAUAUUGGAAAUACAAAGCCUCUAGCCCUGAUAGGGUAAAGGUAACAGAGCCCAGCUCUAACUCUCCAGCUAUGCCUUUGAUUAUGAGGAAGGUAUAUGAAUAUUUAUAAGACUUUAAAAAAGAAUUUGGAUUAUCAUCAGAUGGCUUCAAACACAUGUAAUGUUAAAAUGUUCUAAGAAGAAGACUAAGGGAAGACAAACACUGGCCAAGGCAGGCUUUAUUUAGUCCAUUUCUCUGACCCAUUAAAUUUAUACUGAGUUGCCUCAGUAUAAAUUUCCUAUUUCUGUUAUUUACUCAUGUAAUCUAGGGUCAGUCAUACAACCAGGGAAAGUAUGAAAAUAUAUUCUAAUAUGCGGCAGGUUCUGACCCAUCAGAGGGAUGGUCCCCAAGAUUCCUGCUGUGCUAGGCAUUAAUUCUUCAGUUGGUGAAUUGUAGUGAGGUCUAGGAUGUCCUGGGAGAAGGUCUAGGACAGCCAGGGGCAAAGAGAGGCUUUGGGACAAAAGCUUGAAUAACUAUUAGCAGAAUAACUCAGAAGAUUUGGGGCAACAGUUAUUUAUCACCUGGUUUGGAUUUUUUUUUUUUUUUUUUAACAAUUGGUAUGGCUACACUAGUGCAUAAUGGCCACGUAUAACCUUUCCAUGGUUCUGUUCCUAAUCUGCAGAAUGGGGAUAAUAUCCAGGCUGCCUGCCUUGUAGAGUUGUUGAACCUUAUAUAUAGAUAUUCUCUGAGCACAGUAAAGCCUGUAAAACAGAAAUACAGAGUAAGAGUUUUUGAGAGUAAUUCCUUCCUGCUGGGGGGUGGGAAGCUUUCCCAGCUGGUGAAGGUUCUCUGGGGCUGAGGUUGUUAGAGGGCCAACUCCAAUCUGAGAUUACACAAUAUUCAAAUAAAACUAAGGACUAAAAAUAGACAGUGGGAUUGGCUCUCUAGGAGAGCACUUCAGACAGCUCCUGGGGCCAGAGUAUGGAAGACCAGGACUGAGGCUCCAGGAAGAGGAAAGAAUGACCCCUUCCAUCGCUGGGGCUGUCUCUGAUGUCUGGAUCCUUUACCUGCUCCCUGUAGGGUGAUUUGGUGUGCGUGAAUGAGGGAUGGAGGGGAGAAGAAACCCAUGUUUCAACUCUGAUCCCAUCAGGAGCAUCUCAGCCUUGCCUGUAGAGCAUGAAGAGCACCGAAGAGGAAGCAUGUAUGUGUCACACACUGUUCAAGGUCGCACAUUGCUCAAGGAGCCCACGAGCAAUCAAGGGAGACAGAUGGAGAUGUGAAUUCACUAUGCUGCCCAGGCUGGUCUCGGACUCCUGACUCCAAGUAAUCCUCCCACCUUAGCUUGCCAAAGUGCUGGGCUUACAGGUAUGAACUACUGCUUCCGGCUGAGAGUUUACUUUUGUUUGCUAGUGGUGUUUUUGAUAUCUUUUCAUAUUUGAGGCUUUGGUGUUAGUGCUAAAAUAUUACACUCACCAUCUGAGGUUUACAGGACUUUUGUUUUAAUAUUAACAACUGUUUAGUUCUGCAUCUUUGCAAGUAUACACAAUAUGCCUACCAGGACUCUGCUUUAUAUCAAUCAAAAGCAAGAAGUAAUAAAGUAAAACUUUGCCUGGCUAGAGGCUUUGGAAGUAUGGAGUAUUCUGGUUUAAUUCUAUUAACUUGGAAGUACAAAGGUGAAAAAAAUUCAAAACCUUAAUUUCCUGUUGAAUGCAAUUUGAAAAUACAGCCAGUGAUUCCACUUUUCUUCUCUAGUAAGUUUGGACAUUCAGAUCUACUUGGUCUUUUAUUAUCACACUCCUAGUGUGCCUUAGACUUAUAUUGUGAAGGUCCCUUUCUAAAACUUUAGAUGUAGGAGGAUGUAAGUGGUGUUGUAUAAGAUCAGACUGGAUAAGAACAGAUAUCUGUAAACAUACUUUUUAGAUUAAAUCUCUGAUUGCCACUUGUUUUCUUAUUUAACUUAUAAAAAUAAAACACAUUAGCUGGAGGAUGGGAGUAGGAAGGAGAUUUAUGUCUUUUAAUUGCAUGUCUUUGUUUCAUAUCAAGACAGAACAUACAGUAUCCCUGGCUUUGGACCUACAGAAGGAAACACAUUUUUCUACCUGCUGUAUGCCAGAGGUUCCUGAACACCUGCAGGGUUUAUUGCAGCACAGAUUGCUAGGCCCUACUCCAGAGUUUCUGAUUCAUCAGGUCUAAGGUGGGGCCUGAGAAUAUGCAUUUAUAAAAAGUUCUCAGGUGAUGCUGGUGGUGCUGGUCCAGAGACUACAUUUUUGAGGACCAUUCUUGUAUACUAACUGUAAAUUGUAGAACUCUAGAAGAAAGCUUACUUGGGUCUGGGAUAAGAAGCACACAGGUUAUGGAGCAAAUCAUGAAAGAUUCAACCCUUGAUCCCAGCCUAGUGUGGAAUUCAGAUAACAUGCAAUACCCAGUGACAUAACACAAUUCUUGGUUUUCACAAUUGCUGCAAGUCAUAGUCUAGUAUCUAGUGAGAAAUUCAGUUUCAUUUGCAAGGUUUGGAGAGGCCAGGUGAUUCUAGUCAAAUAGGAUUUAGUGAUUAACCCCUUGAGAGUAGGAGUUGUUUAUGUCCUUUUUCUCUCCCCCAUCACUUAGCAUUUAGCCUUACUUUAGAAGGGCCUUGUAAUUUUUUUUUAAACUGGUAAAGAGCUUUGAGUGCUUAUUAAAUUGAAAAAUGUGUGUUUUUA
rnacentral:lncRNA from 1 species